rnacentral:misc_RNA from 1 species
UCCUCCUUACAGAGGCAGUUUGUUUCGAGUUCCCAGCAUGACCCGCUGGUAACAAAACAUGAGGGUUGCGCUCGUUGCGGGACUUAACCCAACAUUUCACAACACGAGCUGACGACGGCCAUGCACCACCUGUGUACCACCUUCGAAAGCGGCCCCUUUUCGGGGGAUUGCAGGUACAUGUCAAGCCCUGGUAAGGUUCUUCGCGUUGCAUCGAAUUAAGCCAUAUGCUCCACCGCUUGUGCGGGCCCCCGUCAAUUCCUUUGAGUUUCAGUCUUGCGACCGUACUCCCCAGGCGGAGUGCUUAAUGUGUUGACUUCGGCACAGCAGGGGUCGAUACCCGCUACACCAAGCACUCAUCGUUUACGGCGUGGACUAC